GCAAGCUCAACCAAUGAGGCGGCUUCUAACUGCUUCGGCGUCUCUGUCUCCAGGAGCGGAGGGAAGCCUGGUGUCUCAGGGCAGCGGUGAGCGCCGGGGCGUGCGCCAGUUCAAACUGUAGCCACCUUGGUGCUUGUGUCCUGUCUGCUGUGCCAGGGCAGGGCUAGGGACAUCGAACCGGCCUCCUUUUCAAGCUGUGACUGACAUCUGGUUCAGAGCUGAGAAUUUUCAGGCUUCAAUUCAGUGAAAAGCAUGGAUCCUUGGCUCAGGACUGGGACAUUAGCAAAAUGUGGAACACACAGGGAUCAGCAGGAGCCCAGCGCAACCUCCCUUUCAGCUGAUUCAACUACUACUGUUGGCUGUAGCAGUGCCAAUGCAGAGGAGGCAGUGCAUGAUUUACAAGUUCAGCCUGGGACGGGUGUGACAGAGCAGGACACAGAAAGGGUGUCAAAAAAAUGCAAGUAUGAUAAAAGCUACAUUGAACUUGAAUUUACAUGGACUGGGGACGCUGAAUAUCCUCAGCCACAGUGUGUCUUAUGUGGUGAAGUUUUACCAAACAACAGUCUUAAACCUUCCCUUCUUUGCCAGCAUCUAGAGACUAAAUACAAUCAAUUUAAAGACAAACUGGCUCAGUUUUUCAAUCGCAAAUGGGAAGAGCUAAAAAGCAGUAAAAAAUUCUGCCAUCAAAUUGCAUGGAAAAUGUAAAUACACUUCGAGCUUCAGACUUCAUGAGUUAGAAUGGCCAAAAUAGGAGAACCAUACACUAUUACAGAAGAUUUCCUUAUACCUGCUGUGAAGGUCGUGGUGAAGUGCGUGCUUGGUGAAAAAGCAGGAAAAAAAACUUGAUUCCAUAUCACUCUCCCAUGACACUGCGUCGCCGAUAUGGCUGAAAAUGUUCAUUAGAAACAGUGACUAAUAUUCUUCGCAAUUAGACAAGUCCACGGAUUUAGACAGCCUAGCUAAGCUUUUGGUUUAUGUUAGUUAUAUGUAUGAAAAUACCAUACAUGAAGACUUUCUCUUUGUCAUUCCCUGCCUACCCAAACAACAGGAGAAGAGAUUUUUUUUGCUGCUUGAUAACUUCAUGACUGAGAAUAGAAUUGACUGGUCUCGCUGUGUAGGGAUUUCUACUGAUGGGGCAAAAUCGAUGAUGGGAAAGCACAGUGGAGUUGUGGUUUGCAUCAAGGCCAUAGCAACAGAAGCCAUAUGGGUGUACUGCAGCAUCGAUAGAGAGGCCCCAGCUUUCCUAAAAAUGCUGGAAAACUUAAUGUCAGUGUUGUCUGAUGCUGUCAAAAUAGUUAACUUCAUUAAGGGUCAGUGUCUAAAUUCAAGAAUUUUUGCUACCUUGUGUGAUGAAAUGGGAAAUGACCAUUUGCCACUACUAUUGCAUACUGAGGUUCACUGGCUGUCGUUUGGCAAAGUGCUGACACAACUCUUUGAGCUGCACAGCGAGCUUUAAGUUUUUUUCACUGACCACCUCCCCUUUGCACUGGUCAUCUUGCUUGGAUGAAUACUGCCUGGCUUCAGCGAUUAGCCUACUUGGCAGACAUUUUUUCUUGCCUCAACGAGCUCAGUUUAGGCCUUCAGGGCUUAAACACCAAUAUUUUUGAAACACAAGACAAAAUCGAAUCCAUGAUAAAGAAACUACUAUUUUGGGAUAGCUGCUUAAAGAAAAAUAUCAUUAACUGCUUUCCAACAUUGCAAUUGUUUCUUGCAACAAAUGACAAUAUGCUGUUACAUGAGAGUGUGAAAGCUGACAUUAUGGAGCAUUUGCAACAACUUAGCAAACAACUUAGAAAAUAUUUCCCCAAAAUGGACAAUGCAUAUUCCUGGAUACGCAAUCCAUUUAAGGUGCCUCAGUCUCUCCCAAUCCCUCCUCUGCCAGUGCAUGAGCAGGAGAAAUUGUUAGAUCUCUCUUGUGACAGUGGUCUUAAAUUAGAGUUUGAAUGCAAACUUUGGCAGACUUCUGGAUGCAAAGGAUGGAAGAUUACCCAUGCAUGUCAUAACAAGCUGUCAAGGUUCUGAUGCCCUUCUCCACAACAUACCUUUGUGAGACUGGAUUCUCUGCCCUCAUGGCGAUUGAGACAGAGUACCCUCAGAAAUUAAAUGCUGAAAAUGACUUGUGACUGAAGCUCUCUCCAAUUUUCCCUGCCAUCAGUGAUUUGUGUGAUAAAAAGCAAGGACGUCCAUCACACCAAUAGCUUCAUAGCGACUGGAUGCCAUGACUAGAAUCCCCUUGUGCCAGUUUCCCGGCGUUAUGGAGUCUUACCCUUUGAAG